rnacentral:rRNA from 1 species
UGGGGAAUUGUUCACAAUGGGCGCAAGCCUGAUGACGCAACGCCGCGUGGAGGAUGAAGGUCUUCGGAUUGUAAACUCCUGUUGCCCGGGACGAAAAGCUCCGACCUAACACGUCGGAGUCUGACGGUACCGGGGGAGGAAGCCCCGGCUAACUCUGUGCCAGCAGCCGCGGUAAGACAGAGGAGCCAAGCGUUGUCCGGAUUGACUGGGCGUAAAGCGCACGCAGGCGGGUGCGCGCGUGGGGUGUGAAAUCUGGCCGCUUAACGGCCAGGCGCCAUCCCAUACGGCGCGCCUGGAGCCUUGCAGAGGGCGGUGGAAUUGCCGGUGUAGUGGUGAAAUGCGUAGAGGUCGGCAGGAACACCCAGGGGGAAACCAGCCGCCUGGGCAAGCGCUGACGCUGAGGUGCGAGAGCGUGGGGAGCGAA